rnacentral:rRNA from 1 species
AAUUUUCGAGAAACUGUUUUUUAAUAUAUAGAUUCGGUAUCUAUCUUUGUAUUUACAAAAAUAUAAGCAUUUAAUGGAUAACUAGACAAAGUAAUGAUAGGACGUUGCAAAACACGAAAUGAAGUAAUAGAGAAUAAUCUGUAAUUUACUUUCUGUCCUCGGAAAACUAAAAAAUUAUUACAAUUAAACUUGUUUAAAGAAACGUAAUAAUAUAAAAAAAGUGAACUGAAACAUCUUAGUAACUUUAAAAAAGAAAUCAACAGAGAGUCCGGAAGUAACGGCGAGUGAAACUGGAUUAGGCUAUUUUUUUUUGCACAUGCAUUUUAUAAUAAAAUCGAAAAAAAAUAUUGUUAUACUAAAGUAGAAUAACACGAUAUCCAUAGAGGGUACCAAAAGUCCCGUUUAACCGCUUAACAACACGUUUAUCUAAACUUUGAUUACGAUCAUUGUUUAUUUGAAGCGUAUUAAGCUGACGAUUUAUUAUAUUAAAAAAAAACACUUGUUUUAUGCUUUCUUUUUAUUUGACGAGAAAGCAAGCAAGUAAGUACAACGAAAACCGAUUUAGUUGGAAACAUAGAAGAACCAUCUUCUAAGCCUAAAAAUACUACUUUGAUCGAUAGUAUACGAGUACUGUGAAGGAAAGUUUAAUAUAUUUUGAAAUUGAAUGUUUUCAAGUAGUUAGAAUUUGGUUGCUAAACUGUACCAAAUAAUAGCGUACCUUUUGCAUAAUGGGUCAGCGAGUAAAUUGUUAGAGCAUGCUUAAACUGUUUUACAGUGGAGGCGUAGAUAAAUCGAUUUAUAUAUUGUGAAAGUGAAUAGUGAAUAUGAAGCAUUUAUUUCAAUGGUGUAAUUCGUAUCUGUUCUCUUAAACCUUAUAUUGUUCUAGUAAUUUGAUUCGAAAUCAAGUGAUCUAAUCGUGAACAAGUUGAAUGAAGAGUAACAUUUUCAGAAGGACUGAACUCAGAUCUGUUGCAAUAGGUCGAGAUGAUUUGCGAUUAGAGGUGAAAUGCCAAUCGAACUUGAAAAUAGCUAAUUUUCUGCGAAAUCUAUUUAGGUAGAGUACAAUAGUAUAUAUAAACUGUGGGUAGAGCACUUUGUAAAAUUGUGUUUUUUUAAAAAAAUCUCUUUUUGUAAAAACUACGAAUAACAGCUAUAAUUUUAUUGUAAACAGACUUUCGGUUCCAAGAUCGAAAGUCAAAAAGAAAAAAGUCUUCAUUGUUCGUAAAGGUCCCUAAGCAACUUUUUAUUGAGAAAGAUGGUUUUGUUUCUAUAACACAAUGUAGGUAAACUUGGAAGCAGUUACUCCUUUAAAGAUAGCGUAAAAGCUCACGAAUUGAGAAACAAAAUCUCGAAAAUUCAGCGGGACUCAAAAAGUUGACCGAAACGACAAUUCAUUCUACAGUUAAAAUUGCUUUACUGUAAAAUAAGAAUGAAGGUAGCAGAACGUUCUGUAAAUUGAAUAAGAAAAAGUGUAAGCUUUUUUGAAAAUAUCAGAAGUGAGAAUGCUGACAUGAGUAACGUUAAAUCAUAUAAAUGAAUAUCUUAAUUAUUAUUUAUGAUCGCUGGAAGUUCUAAGUUUUCGAUUAGAUUGUAAAACAAAAUCGAGUAAGUCGGCCCAUAAGGAAAUUACGAAAGUAAAUAUCCAAUAGGAAUUAAACAAAAUUUGUCAUCCCAUUCGUGAAUCGAAAGUUCACAUGUUUGGAAGAAACAUUGUGUUUUGUUUAGCGUAAAUGUCUUUUUUUGAAGACAAAGUAAAAAGUGACUAAAGUUGUAUCUUACCCUUGUUUCUUGCUAUAACCUAGUUUGAAAAUACGUGGUCAAAUUGAUUAAUCAAUUGAUAUCGUUGUGUGACUUUGUCACAAAACUUAUUACUCAAUUUGAAACUUUACUGGAAAUAACUUUGAUUUUUGUCUUUACCACUUUGCAAUCAAAAAUUGUUUAGUGGAUAUUAUUUUAAAAAGCUUUUAUCACCGUACUUAAUCCAACACAGGUGAACUGGUCUUUAUAUACUAAAGCGUAAUGAUAACUAUUCUUAAGGAACUCGGCAAAUUUUCUCUGUAACUUCGGGAUAAAGAGAGCCUUUUUAUAAAAGGUGACAUAAAAAAUUGGAAUGGCAACUGUUUAUUUAAAACAUAUGACUCUGCAAAAUGAAAAAUGAGGUAUAGGGUCUGACAUUUGCCCGGUGCUUGAGUAAGAAAGAAGGAAGUAAAGAUUCGAUUUUUGUUUAAAUAAAAAUAUUUGAAUUACAGCUUUUAACUGAAGACCAAGUAAACGGCGGUCGUAACUAUAACGAUCCUAAGGUAGCGAAAUUCUUUGGUUGGUAAAUUCAAUCCUGCACGAAUAAUGUAAUGAUCGUUCCGCUGUCUCGAGAGUAGACUUAGUGAAAUUAAACUCUCAGUGCAGAUGCUGAGUAUCUAAAAAAAGACGAAAAGACCCUUUGCAUCUUAUACUGUAAUCAGUUAUUGAAAAAUUUGAUUGAUUGUGCAGAAUAGAUGGUAGUGGACGAACAGUGUACCAAAUUGAGAUACCAUCGUUUCAAUCUAUUUUUUCUAACCUAUCAAUUUCAAAAUAUCUUUUGUUUGUUUCGUUUAUGAACAAUACGAUAAAUUCAAUAAAUUCUGGAACAUUGACUGAUCGACAGUUUGACUGGGGCGGUCGUUUUCUAAAGAGUAACGAAAAUGCGCAAAGAUAAGCUCAAAAAUAUCGGAAACAUUUUGUAGAGCGUAAUAGUAUAUGCUUGUCUGACUGUAAGGCUUACAAGCCAAGCAGGCGCUAACGCGGGCUAUAAUGAUCCGAAAGUUUUGUAUGGAAAAGCUUUCGCAAUCGAAUCAAAGAUACGCGAGGGAUAACAGCCUAAUGUUCUCCAAGAGACCUUAUCGACGAGAACGUUUGGGACCUCUAUGUCGGCUCGUAGCUUCCCAGAAUUGCAGAAGAUUCUAAAGGUUUAGCUGUUCGCUAAUUAAAGCUGCACGCGAGCUGGGUUUAGUACGUUGAGAAACAGUACGGAUUCUAUCUUUUUUGGAUGUUUAAAACUGACAGUAAUCAAUCUUUUGUACGAGAGGACCAAGAUUGGUAAACCUCUGGUCUAUCAAUUGUUUUUUCAAAAGCAUCGUUGAGUAGCUACGUUUAAAAUCAAUAACAAAUGAAUUCAUAUCAAGCUGGAAUUGAUAACUAAAACAAGUUUUAUACAAAUAGUACAAGAUAAGUACAUCAAUAGGCGAUAUGUGAACAAUUAGCAAUAAUUUUAGCUUAAACGUACUAACAAUAACAAAUACAAUUUUAUAAC